rnacentral:rRNA from 1 species
AGUGAACGCUGGCGGCAGGCCUAACACAUGCAAGUCGAACGGCAGCACAGGAGAGCUUGCUCUCCGGGUGGCGAGUGGCGGACGGGUGAGGAAUACAUCGGAAUCUGCCCAGUCGUGGGGGAUAACCUCGGGAAACCGGGACUAAUACCGCAUACGACCUACGGGUGAAAGCAGGGGACCUUCGGGCCUUGCGGGAGUGGAUGAGUCGAUGUCGGAUUAGCUAGUUGGAGGGGUAAUGGCCCACCAAGGCGACGAACCGUAGCUGGUCUGGGAGGAUGAUCAGCCACACUGGGACUGAGACACGGCCCAGACUCCUACGGGAGGCAGCAGUGGGGAAUUUUGGACAAUGGGGGCAAGCCUGAUCCAGCCAUGCCGCGUGAGUGAAGAAGGCCUUCGGGUUGUAAAGCUCUUUCGGCCGGGAAGAAAUCGUAUAGGCUAAUACCCUGUGCGGAUGACGGUACCGGCAUAAGAAGCACCGGCUAACUACGUGCCAGCAGCCGCCGUAAUAC